rnacentral:ncRNA from 2 species
AGGAAUAAUUUCUGUAGAGGUUGUUUAUUACAUUAAAAGGGAAAUAGGUUUAAUUCCUAUGCGGUCCCGCCGCCGUAAGAGAGGAGCUAGUCUUAAAAGUCACUGAAUAUUUAUUUUGGGAAGACUAAGACAAAAGGUUAUGAUUCUCAAGCCGGAAUACCUGCCUGUACUUUAAACACUAU